GACAGACGACCGCUGCGUGUAAGGCCACUUCGGUGAUCUUGGACGGAGAGGAAAGUCCGAACUCCAGAGGGCAGUGCGCCGGGUAAUUCCCGGUCAGGGCGACCUGAAGGAAAGUGGCACAGAAAAUAUACCGCUCGUUUCACACAGCCGUGUGGACGGGUAAGGGUGAAAUGGUGCGGUAAGAGCGCACCGCGUCGACCGUAAGGUGGAUGGCAGGCUAAACCCCGCACGGAGCAAGACCAAAUAGGGAGGCGUUAUUAGGGCGGCCCGUUCGAAGUCUCCGGGUAGGUUGCUUGAUCCUGCCAGUAAUGGCAGGGCUAGAGGAAUGGUCGUCACCUGGGCUUUUGGGCUGUUGGCCAGGGACCUGGGUACAGAAUUCGGCUUAUCGUUUCUC
rnacentral:RNase_P_RNA from 1 species